AGAUGGAUUGGUGCCUUCGGGAACUCUGAGACAGGUGCUGCAUGGCUGUCGUCAGCUCGUGUUGUGAAAUGUUGGGUUAAGUCCCGCAACGAGCGCAACCCUUAUCCUUUGUUGCCAGCGGUUCGGCCGGGAACUCAAAGGAGACUGCCAGUGAUAAACUGGAGGAAGGUGGGGAUGACGUCAAGUCAUCAUGGCCCUUACGAGUAGGGCUACACACGUGCUACAAUGGCAUAUACAAAGAGAAGCGACCUCGCGAGAGCAAGCGGACCUCAUAAAGUAUGUCGUAGUCCGGAUUGGAGUCUGCAACUCGACUCCAUGAAGUCGGAAUCGCUAGUAAUCGUAGAUCAGAA
rnacentral:rRNA from 1 species